rnacentral:rRNA from 1 species
AUACGGAGGAUGCAAGCGUUAUCCGGAUUUAUUGGGUUUAAAGGGUGCGCAGGCGGGAAAAUAAGUCAGUGGUGAAAUCCUGCAGCUUAACUGUAGAAUUGCCGUUGAUACUGUUUUUCUUGAGUGUGGUCAAGGAAGGCGGAAUGUGUAAUGUAGCGGUGAAAUGCUUAGAUAUUACACAGAACACCAAUUGCGAAGGCAGCUUUCUGGGCCGUAACUGACGCUCAUGCACGAAAGCGUGGGGAUCGAACAGGAUUAGAUACCCUGGUAGUCCACGCCGUAAACGAUGAUCACUCGCUGUUGGCGAUAUACAGUCAGCGGCAAAGCAAAAGCAUUAAGUGAUCCACCUGGGGAGUACGGCCGCAAGGCUGAA